GAUGAACGCUGGCGGCGUGCCUAAUACAUGCAAGUCGAGCGAACGGACGAGAAGCUUGCUUCUCUGAUGUUAGCGGCGGACGGGUGAGUAACACGUGGAUAACCUACCUAUAAGACUGGGAUAACUUCGGGAAACCGGAGCUAAUACCGGAUAAUAUUUUGAACCGCAUGGUUCAAAAGUGAAAGACGGUCUUGCUGUCACUUAUAGAUGGAUCCGCGCUGCAUUAGCUAGUUGGUAAGGUAACGGCUUACCAAGGCAACGAUGCAUAGCCGACCUGAGAGGGUGAUCGGCCACACUGGAACUGAGACACGGUCCAGACUCCUACGGGAGGCAGCAGUAGGGAAUCUUCCGCAAUGGGCGAAAGCCUGACGGAGCAACGCCGCGUGAGUGAUGAAGGUCUUCGGAUCGUAAAACUCUGUUAUUAGGGAAGAACAUAUGUGUAAGUAACUGUGCACAUCUUGACGGUACCUAAUCAGAAAGCCACGGCUAACUACGUGCCAGCAGCCGCGGUAAUACGUAGGUGGCAAGCGUUAUCCGGAAUUAUUGGGCGUNAAGCGCGCGUANGCGGUUUUUUAGUCUGAUGUGAAAGCCCACGGCUCAACCGUGGAGGGUCAUUGGAAACUGGAAAACUUGAGUGCAGAAGAGGAAAGUGGAAUUCCAUGUGUAGCGGUGAAAUGCGCAGAGAUAUGGAGGAACACCAGUGGCGAAGGCGACUUUCUGGUCUGUAACUGACGCUGAUGUGCGAAAGCGUGGGGAUCAAACAGGAUUAGAUACCCUGGUAGUCCACGCCGUAAACGAUGAGUGCUAAGUGUUAGGGGGUUUCCGCCCCUUAGUGCUGCAGCUAACGCAUUAAGCACUCCGCCUGGGGAGUACGACCGCAAGGUUGAAACUCAAAGGAAUUGACGGGGACCCGCACAAGCGGUGGAGCAUGUGGUUUAAUUCGAAGCAACGCGAAGAACCUUACCAAAUCUUGACAUCCUUUGACAACUCUAGAGAUAGAGCUUUCCCCUUCGGGGGACAAAGUGACAGGUGGUGCAUGGUUGUCGUCAGCUCGUGUCGUGAGAUGUUGGGUUAAGUCCCGCAACGAGCGCAACCCUUAAGCUUAGUUGCCAUCAUUAAGUUGGGCACUCUAAGUUGACUGCCGGUGACAAACCGGAGGAAGGUGGGGAUGACGUCAAAUCAUCAUGCCCCUUAUGAUUUGGGCUACACACGUGCUACAAUGGACAAUACAAAGGGCAGCGAAACCGUGAGGUCAAGCAAAUCCCAUAAAGUUGUUCUCAGUUCGGAUUGUAGUCUGCAACUCGACUACAUGAAGCUGGAAUCGCUAGUAAUCGUAGAUCAGCAUGCUACGGUGAAUACGUUCCCGGGUCU
rnacentral:rRNA from 1 species